rnacentral:rRNA from 1 species
AUUGAACGCUGGCGGCAGGCCUAACACAUGCAAGUCGAGCGGAUGAGAAGAGCUUGCUCUUCGAUUCAGCGGCGGACGGGUGAGUAAUGCCUAGGAAUCUGCCUGGUAGUGGGGGACAACGUUUCGAAAGGAACGCUAAUACCGCAUACGUCCAACGGGAGAAAGAAAGGGACGUUCGGGCCUUGCUCUAUCAGAUGAGCCUAGGUCGGAUUAGUUAGUUGGUGAGGUAAUGGAUCACAAAGGGGACGAUCCGUAACUGGUCUGAAAGGAUGAUCAGUCACACUGGAACUGAGACACGGUCCAGACUCCUACGGGAGGCAGCAGUGGGGAAUAUUGGACAAUGGGCGAAAGCCUGAUCCAGCCAUGCCGCGUGUGUGAAGAAGGUCUUCGGAUUGUAAAGCACUUUAAGUUGGGAGGAAGGGCAGUAAGUUAAUACCUUGCUGUUUUGACGUUACCGACAGAAUAAGCACCGGCUAACUCUGUGCCAGCCGCCGCCGUAAGAC